UUUUGCAUAUCCAAUAGCGGAGGAAAAGAAACCAACUGGGAUUACCUUAGUAACGGCGAGUGAAGCGGUAAAAGCUCAAAUUUGAAAUCUGGUACUUUCAGUGCCCGAGUUGUAAUUUGUAGAAUUUGUCUUUGAUUAGGUCCUUGUCUAUGUUCCUUGGAACAGGACGUCAUAGAGGGUGAGAAUCCCGUUUGGCGAGGAUACCUUUUCUCUGUAAGACUUUUUCGAAGAGUCGAGUUGUUUGGGAAUGCAGCUCAAAGUGGGUGGUAAAUUCCAUCUAAAGCUAAAUAUUGGCGAGAGACCGAUAGCGAACAAGUACAGUGAUGGAAAGAUGAAAAGAACUUUGAAAAGAGAGUGAAAAAGUACGUGAAAUUGUUGAAAGGGAAGGGCAUUUGAUCAGACAUGGUGUUUUUUGCAUGCACUCGCCUCUCGUGGGCUUGGGCCUCUCAAAAAUUUCACUGGGCCAACAUCAAUUCUGGCAGCAGGAUAAAUCAUUAAGAAUGUAGCUACUUCGGUAGUGUUAUAGCUUUUUGGAAUACUGUUAGCCGGGAUUGAGGACUGCGCUUCGGCAAGGAUGUUGGCAUAAUGGUUAAAUGCCGCCCGUCUUGAACCACGGGACCAAAA
rnacentral:rRNA from 1 species